rnacentral:rRNA from 1 species
UACGGAGGAUGCGAGCGUUAUCCGGAUUUAUUGGGUUUAAAGGGUGCGCAGGCGGAAGAUCAAGUCAGCGGUAAAAUUGAGAGGCUCAACCUCUUCGAGCCGUUGAAACUGGUUCUCUUGAGUGGGCGAGAAGUAUGCGGAAUGCGUGGUGUAGCGGUGAAAUGCAUAGAUAUCACGCAGAACUCCGAUUGCGAAGGCAGCUUACCAAGCUACUUCUGACGUUGAGGCACGAAAGCGUGGGGAGCAAACAGG